rnacentral:rRNA from 1 species
AUUGAACGCUGGCGGCAUGCUUUACACAUGCAAGUCGAACGGUAACAGGCCUUCGGGCGCUGACGAGUGGCGAACGGGUGAGUAAUGCAUCGGAACGUGCCCAGUUGUGGGGGAUAACUAUCCGAAAGGAUAGCUAAUACCGCAUACGAUCUGCGGAUGAAAGCGGGGGACCUUCGGGCCUCGCGCGAUUGGAGCGGACGAUGUCAGAUUAGGUAGUUGGUGGGGUAAAGGCUCACCAAGCCAACGAUCUGUAGCUGGUCUGAGAGGACGACCAGCCACACUGGGACUGAGACACGGCCCAGACUCCUACGGGAGGCAGCAGUGGGGAAUUUUGGACGAUGGGCGCAAGCCUGAUCCAGCAAUGCCGCGUGCAGGAAGAAGGCCUUCGGGUUGUAAACUGCUUUUGUACGGAACGAAACGGCUCUGGUUAAUACCCGGGGCUAAUGACGGUACCGUAAGAAUAAGCACCGGCUAACUACGUGCCAGCCGCCGCCGUAAUAC